CCAUCCGUUCAUUCACUCAACAACAAGUUUUUGGAGCUGUUCCCAAGCUAAUAUCACUGAUAGCGUUCCAUUCAUGCUUGGUGCUGGGGAUAGAAUGAGCCAGAGGGUAGGACUGGACAAACUUCAAGACCCAGACCAGAUCCAUAGUGACCACGAUGGUUUCUCCUGAAGCAGCCCUGAAACCGAAGUCUCCUGGUGGCCAGGAGGUGGAAGAUUCCUGGUCAUCUGGGCUCCCAGGAUCCAGCUUAUUCUUCAUGUGUUGCUAA
rnacentral:lncRNA from 1 species